GUGGUAAAUGGUCAUAGUUUUACUCGAACUGCAAUUUGUUGGCUUAAAAUUUUGGUCUUGACGGUCUUGCGUAGUUUUUAUUGAACUUUUGCAGUAAUUAAGAAUACACUGUCGAACCAUGAUUAUUCAUCACAAACAAUAAAUCACAUGGCUGCGCGUGGCAUCGGAAGCGGUCCCCCA